UACGGAGGGAGCUAGCGUUGUUCGGAUUUAUUGGGCGUAAAGAGCGUGUAGGCGGCCAGGUAGGUCUGCUGUGAAAACUCGAGGCUCAACCUCGAGACGUCGGCGGAAACCAUCUGGCUAGAGUCCGGAAGAGGAGAGUGGAAUUCCUGGUGUAGCGGUGAAAUGCGCAGAUAUCAGGAAGAACACCCGUGGCGAAGGCGGCUCUCUGGGACGGUACUGACGCUGAGACGCGAAAGCGUGGGGAGCGAACAGG
rnacentral:rRNA from 1 species